GCUGGGGUCUCAUAGUCUGGUAUGCUGCAUUGAAAGGCAGGCUGUGUGAGCAGGCCUGGAGAGCCUGUGGCCCCGUAAAGGGCCGCGUGGGUUCAAAUCCCACCCCCAGCGCCA
rnacentral:tRNA from 1 species